rnacentral:lncRNA from 1 species
GACUCAUUGUGAUUUAUGAUAAAUUUCUGGAUGGCGGCAUUUUUAGACAGUCGUACAAAGGCUGAGAAGAACAUCAAUGCGUUAUAGUCGGCUCCUGUUUGGUGUACUUUGAAGAUUUUGUGUAGAAAGCUUCCACUUUCUGCUGAAGAAACCCCAAGAAACGUCUGUGAAGUCAAGUCAAUGCUUAAAGCUUUGGCUUCUGUAUUUAAUGGAACCAUUUUGGGUUCCAGUUGCAUCUGUGGAAUAACUUACAGCAAGAGCUAUAACACAAUCCUGCCUACUCCCAUUGUGGUCAUGGUUAAUGAUUGCAGUGCUCUGUGGAAAAGCUUUCAAGGCAGGAGUGUUUGAAGCUUUCACAAAAACCUGCCCCAGUGAUGUGGGAUCCUAACAUUCAGCAUGGAAAUGUUGUACGUAUAGUCAUAUCUGCUGACACUCCUGAGUGUGUGAAGUCACUACAGAAAUCUGAAAAUUUCUGUCAUUUCAUGAAAUAUAUGCUGUGUUACUGAAGCGCAUUGAAAUAAAAGUUCCCCGAGG